AUCCCUGGACUGUAGACACCGGCUUCUCGAACACACACUAACCCUGGACUGUAGACACCGGCUUCUAAGCACUGGGCUCCAACCCUGGAAUGUCACUCCCAACUUGUCUGUCUUCCCUAUUUAUCUAAAGAGGGGUCCUUAUAUCUGUAAUGUGUCGAAGACUACCUAGACGUCAGGUCCUUAUAUCUGUACUGUGUCUGAGACUACCUAGACAUCAGAUCCUUAUAUCUGUACUGUGUCUGAGACUACCUAGACAUCAGGUCCUUAUAUCUGUACUGUGUCUGAGACUACCUAGACAUCAGAUCCUUAUAUCUGUACUGUGUCUGAGACUACCUAGACAUCAGGUCCUUAUAUCUGUACUGUGUCUGAGACUACCUAGACAUCAGGUCCUUAUAUCUGUACUGUGUCUGAGACUACCUAGACAUCAGGUCCUUAUAUCUGUACUGUGUCUGAGACUACCUAGACAUCAGGUCCUUAUAUCUGUACUGUGUCUGAGACUACCUAGACAUCAGGUCCUAUUUGGUCUAUACUGGUUUAAAGACUAUACUGGUCACUAUUUGGUCUAUACUGGUUUAAAGGCUAUUCUGGACACUAGUCUAUACUGGUUUAAGUACUAUACUAGUUUAAAGGCUAUUCUCGUCACUAGUUGGUCUGUACUGGUUUAAAGACUAUACUGGUCACAAGUCUAUACUGGUUUAAAUACUAUACUAGUUUAAAGGCUAUUCUGGUCACUAGUUGGUCUGUACUGGUUUAAAGACUAUUC
ensembl:lncRNA